rnacentral:rRNA from 1 species
UAGGGAAUCUUCGGCAAUGGACGAAAGUCUGACCGAGCAACGCCGCGUGAGUGAAGAAGGUUUUCGGAUCGUAAAACUCUGCUGUUAGAGAAGAACAAGGGUGAGAGUAACUGUUCACCCCUUGACGGUAUCUAACCAGAAAGCCACGGCUAACUACGUGCCAG